rnacentral:lncRNA from 1 species
UGAGCUAUUGAACGCCACGACUAAUUUGCUCNAUUUACUACUUUCACUAACCAACAUUUGGUCGCAAAAGGAUGCAAAUUAACCAACUUUUUUUAUACCUAAUUCGAGCCUGUUACCGACCAUUGUUUAGAUCGUUGAAUAAUACGAUUCAACGACCACUUGUCAUUGGUCAUUAAAGACAUUCACUGACUAAUUAGUGACCAUAAUAUUUUAGUAAAGAUCUUUAGCGACCAAAAUAUUGCCUUUACCGAGCAAUUUUAUUUGUCCCUGGAGACCUUAUUUUUUGCAAGAGCUUAGAGAACAAAUUCAUAGUAAGUAUCCCUAAAUGGAUUGGCUAUCUAUUGAGCUUAGCAUUAUUCUACUUUGAGGCAACAAUUUUGAAGCCAUAAUUCCUUACCAACAAUACCGAACAAGGCUUUGUAUGAUAGAUCUAUUUUAUAAUAGCCUCAAUGGUUAGAUACCGCACUGUUUGGGUAACAUAACACUAGCGCUAAUCGAGAUGAAGUCUAGAAUGGUUCAAGGGGAUACCUUUUCUUCAAUAGUCACAUUUAGGUCAUACAUGGAUAGGAUUGAGUCUGAAAGGGCCUAUCAUGUGUCUCUCCAAAAAGUAGAAGAAUUCGGAUUCACUAUUGGGAAAAUUACAAUAUUACAACAAAGAAAAAAAUCGUAUUCUUAUUAGGGUAGCUAUCCUCAACCACAUGUCAAGAAUUGAUCUAUCUUCUAAUAAAUUAUAUGGUGAUAUUUUAGAGGAACUUGGAGAGUUAAGGGAGAUCCGUGCACUAAACUUAUCCACAACAAUCUUAGUGGAACAAAUCCAGCAACAUUCUCAAAUCUACAUCAAGUCGAGAGUUUGGAUAUCUCCUAUAACAACUUAGGAGAGACAAUCCCCUUGGAUUGGUCAACUUCAACUCUUUGCAAGACGUCAGUGUGGCAUAUUACUGUUGGAAUUUAAUGAUUUUAAUAGAUAAGAUUUAGUUAUUUUAUUAAGUAUGAAUUAGAAAGGUCUCCAGUUGUGAUAUAAUUAGUCACGAUAUUUCAAAUGCAAAGUAUGCAUAAUGAAUACUAAAGAUUUUUCAGAUCGUGUGACUACAAAAAUGUGCAUAAUAAAAAGCCAUGGCCUUUUAAUAGGGAGUGAUCUAGGCUAUUAGAUCAUGACACAAUCUAAAAAAGUGUGAUCUAAUUAUCUAAGAUUAAUUUAUAUCAAAUUGUGCACGUUUUAAGAAAUCCAAUUAUAAAACUGAAUUCAAUUUUCUUCACUCCAAAUCAAUUUAAAAUAAUUGAUUUCUAGUUCGUUCUUUCUCCAAACUCCAUCAAAAUAAUUCUAAAUUAUUUUUGAGUUCAUGUUCGAUAUUUUGAUAAUAAUAAUUGAAAAGAUUUCGGGGCGUUACAACCUGAAUCUGAAUUCCACCAGGGACUAGAGUUCCGGGCAUUGGUACUUUAAUACGUCUCUAUUUCUUCCUUUUCAAGACUUAGAAAUCUCUCGUUUGUGUCGAAUUAUUUAGUAAGCUGGAUUGAGAACGAAAGUAUCUUGGCACCUCUCUUUUUAUUUUAUUAUUAUUUUUUUUUUGGCUCUCUUUGCUUCUCCUAUGAUAAUACCCGUAAUGAAGAAUGUGAAGCAUUUCUUCAUGCCUCAGAUGCUGAGUACUUAAAGGGAUUUCUUGUACGUUUCAUAAUAUUAAGGAGCUAAUAUUAUUCAAAAAAUAAUAAUAAUAAUAAUUUGUAUAAACAGAGAAAGUUUGAAUGCAAAGCUAUUAGAGAAUCUAUGAUUGUAUUAAUUCCCAUGUGUAUUUCUUUGUACAAUUUUACUACGGGUUAAAUUCACCAAUGACCAACCAACUUUAUAUUUAGUGUUUAUUGGUCACCCAUUGGAUUUUCUUUUACCAUUGGCCACUGAACUUUAUAUUUAGUAAUAUCAUGGCUAUCCAAUUUGAUUUUAUAUCAACUUGGCCACCUAAUUUCCUUUCACCCUCUUCACUAAUUUCCUUUAUAUAUCUCGAUCUAAAGAAAUGAAAAUAGAAAAUCUUGAAUCUUUAGUUACUAAAAUCAUUGAAACUAAUUGAUUAAAAUUUGAAACCCUUUUGCGUAACUUUCUAUAAACAAAAUGGGGCCUGGUAGAGAAG